UGACGGACCCGCACAAGCGGUGGAUCAUGUUGUUUAAUUCGAUGAUACGCGAAGAACUUACCAGGUCUUGACAUCCCCGCGAUGCUUAGAGAUAAAGCGGAGGUAUCGGGGAGACAGGUGGUGCAUGGUUGUCGUCAGCUCGUGUCGUGAGAUGUUGGGUUAAGUCCCGCAACGAGCGCAACCCUUGUGUUUAGUUGCAAACAGGUCAAGCUGUGCACUCUAGACAGACUGCCGUGGACAACACGGAGGAAGGUGGGGAUGACGUCAAAUCAUCAUGCCCCUUAUGAUCUGGGCUACACACGUGCUACAAUGGCCGGUACAACGGGCAGCGAAGGAGCGAUCCGGAGCGAAUCCUAAAAAGCCGGUCCCAGUUCGGAUUGCAGGCUGAAACUCGCCUACAUGAAGUUGGAGUUGCUAGUAAUCGCGAAUCAGAAUGUCGCGGUGAAUGCGUUCCCGGGUCUU
rnacentral:rRNA from 1 species